rnacentral:tRNA from 1 species
GAUAGCUCAGCCGGUAGAGCACCUGACUGUUAAUCAGGCUGUCGUAGGUUCGAAUCCUGCUC